CAGGCCAACUUUUUAUCAAAUCUACAAGAAAAAAUCAAGUGAAGGGUUCCAAUCGGUUCCUUAUGUAGUUGCUGUCUUCAGUUACAUGCUAUGGAUAUAUCAUGCAUUUCUCAAGUCUGACAAUACCACACUUGUUAUUACCAUAAAUACCAUCGGAUGUUUCAUUGAAAUUAUAUACAUGUGCUUCUACCUCUUCUAUACCCCAAAGAAGGUAUCAGACUUCUUAUUGAUGCCCUGUUUGGUUCACAUUCUUUCAAAAAAAAAAAAAAUAUAUUUUUAAACAGUGAUUCGAUAUUAUUUUAACAACACUUUUUUCGAUAAAAUGAUAUUACAUACAAAUUCAAAUUUUUUUGUCUAAAAGUUUAAAUGGCUAAAGACAUCAUAAGUUUAUAUAUUUGGAUUAUGUUCUUAUCACGCCCCUUGUGCAUCUCACAAUGCACAAAUGAAUGAUGAUUUAAACAAAAGACAAGUAUAUUGUAUAUUAAGGCUUGGAAUCCUAUCUUAAAAUGUUAAUUUUAUUAAGAGGAUUAGCCAAAACUCUAAUAAAUCGAUAUAUCUUUUCAUCUUCAUUCGAUGUGAGAUUUAUUCCUUAACAUCCUGCUACAAGACGGUGACUCAUUUCAAUAGACCAAUCUUGAAAUUCAUGUACUCAUUUUUUAAGUUUGAAUCUGAUCGAAUUGCUUGUUAGAACUUAAUGUGUUCUGAUACUAUGUUAAAUCUUGGACUUCCAUCUUAAAAUGUCGAAGUUAUUAAGAAAUUGAGUUCAAACACUUAUAAGUUGGUUUAAAUUUUUCAUCUUUAUUUGAC
rnacentral:lncRNA from 1 species